rnacentral:rRNA from 1 species
GACGAACGCUGGCGGCGUGCUUAACACAUGCAAGUCGAACGGAAAGGCCCUGCUUUUGUGGGGUGCUCGAGUGGCGAACGGGUGAGUAACACGUGAGUAACCUGCCCUUGACUUUGGGAUAACUUCAGGAAACUGGGGCUAAUACCGGAUAGGAGCUCCUGCUGCAUGGUGGGGGUUGGAAAGUUUCGGCGGUUGGGGAUGGACUCGCGGCUUAUCAGCUUGUUGGUGGGGUAGUGGCUUACCAAGGCUUUGACGGGUAGCCGGCCUGGGAGGGUGACCGGCCACAUUGGGCCUACGAUACGGCCCAGACUCCUACGGGAGGCAGCGGUGGGGAAUAUUGCACAAUGGGCGGGAGCCUGAUGCAGCAACGCCGCGUGCGGGAUGACGGCCUUCGGGUUGUAAACCGCUUUCGCCUGUGACGAAGCGUGAGUGACGGUAAUGGGUAAAGAAGCACCGGCUAACUACGUG